ACUAUUCUCUCCUCCUUGGCUCCUUCUGCUCCUUUACCUUUCUGCUUAUUUUGCACCCUUCUGCUCCUUUCUCUUUCUGAUCCCUUUUCUGAUCCUUCUGCUCCUUUACCCUUGUGCUCCUUCUGAUUCUUUCUGCUCUUUGCAGACCCUUCCUUAUCCUUGCUGACCCUUCCUGCUAAUUUCUACUCCUUCUCCGACUUUACGUUUGUGCUCCUUCUGCCCCUUCCAGCUCAUUACUGACCCUUUCUGCUCUUUG